rnacentral:lncRNA from 10 species
UUAAAUAGAGGGAUGACAUACUCAGAUGCACAGUUUAGAAAGAUCUCUAGGGAUGUGGGUGAAGGCAGGUCUGGGGAAAGUCAGCCUGGAGGCAGGGAGACAGACAUAGGGGCCUUGUCACAGGCACCUGGGUGAAAGUCAACAGUGGAAGGAAUCAGGGACAGUGUAAGUAGAAGCCAUAGGUCUUGAGUGUGGUUGGCUGUAGGAGAUGAGGAUUGAUGAGGGGAAUGAAAGCUGUGUUUCAGCAAGGAGGAGUGGUUUAAAGUGUGGAGUUUCAGGUGCAGCCUUGGCAGGCUAACUGGCAGUGGCACAGAUUAAUAUGAAUCUCAGGACAGAGAACUGUGUUCUUGGCAGUGAAGUGAAGUCCUUGACAAGUGAGACAGAACAGAGGAGGAGGAGUUGAGUAAGGAGGAGGUUCCAUAUGAAUAUAACUUCUUGCCUAAGUUGGUUUAGGUAAGAAGACUCUUCAUGUGCCUGUUUCCUUCAAAUUUUAAGGAGAGCUCUUGCAUGGUGGUAGAACCGAGGACAGCCUAGACCUUCUGAUUGUCAACUCCUUGUUCCAUUGUGUCCAAACCUACAUGUCUGAACUCCUCUCAUCAAAGACUUCUCAAAGUUAUUAAUAACUGGGGAUCACGUAUUCAGUAAUUACACACAUCAGGCUCCAUGCUUUCUGUGCAGUAUGUAAAUUGAUUCAUUGUCAUACUAAUUAUAAAUGGCUAGUAUUAUUGCUGCUUUACAAAUGAGGCAUAUGACACACAGGGAGCUAAAUAAUUUGCCUAAGGUCACCCCACUUGUAAAUGAUGAAGCCAGGACUCAAGGCCAGGUCUGGCCACCCCUGAAUUUAAUAGCUUUAUCCUCUAUAUCUCUGUUUUCUCCCAGACCAAGGUGUCUGUACCUCUCUGCCAACAGAGAAAAGGGUUCAUUCAUUCAUCAAAUGUUUGUUGAGCAUCUAUUGUGACUCAGGCAAUAUCCUAGAUCAAGGAUUGUCAAACUUUUUCUAUAAAGGACAAGAGAGCAAACAUUUUAGGUCUCCUGGGUCAUACGGUCAGUCACUGUGAUUCAACUCUGCUGUUGUAGUACAAGAUUGUGAAAGCAGCCAUAGAUGAUAUGUCAAUGAAUGAGCAUGGUUGUGUUCCAAUAAAAUGUCACUUGCGAAAGCAGGCUGUGGGCUGGGUUUGGGCCAAGAGUUCUAUCCCUGCUCUAGGCACUGGAGUUACAAUAGCAAAAAAUUAAAAUAAAGUAAAAUAAAAACACAAAAAUGCCUGCCUUUGUGGUGCUUCCAUUCCAGAAUGGGGAAGUAAUUGUAUUUCUGUCCCGUUUAUCAUGUAAAAAUUGUCAUAGGAUCUUGGAGUUGCUGAGCACCUAGAGGUGAUCUGUUCAGCAUUUUCCUCCCAGGGCAGCUCUCCACUCAGAACUCUCUUGGCUGGUGAGGGUUCAUUCUGUGUGCCCGGAUCUAGUGUCACCUCACCUUCCAGGGGACCCAUCCUUGUCACAUAGUCCUUGCUUAUCUGUCUUCCUGACAAUUUAACUCACAUCCUACCCUGUUUGGGCAGAGGGCCCCACAUUUUAGCAUAUCAUAAUCACUUUUGGGGCUUGAAACACUUUGAUGGGCUCCACUCUCGAGAUUCUGAUUCAAUAGGUCUGGAGUGAGGCCCAAGAUUUUCCCUUUCUGACAAAUUCCCAGGUAAUUCC